AUGCUCCACUGGCAGCACAUAUACUAAACUUGGAACACUAAGAAAAUUAGCAUAGCCCUGUUACAAGGAUGAUGGCGAAUUCAUCAAGUAUUCUAUCUUUUU
ensembl:snRNA U6 U6 spliceosomal RNA